rnacentral:rRNA from 1 species
GACGAACGCUGGCGGCGUGCCUAAUACAUGCAAGUCGAACGCACUCUCGUUUAGAUUGAAGGAGCUUGCUCCUGAUUGAUAAACAUUUGAGUGAGUGGCGGACGGGUGAGUAACACGUGGGUAACCUGCCCUAAAGUGGGGGAUAACAUUUGGAAACAGAUGCUAAUACCGCAUAAAACCUAAACACCGCAUGGUGUAGGGUUGAAAGAUGGUUUCGGCUAUCACUUUAGGAUGGACCCGCGGUGCAUUAGUUAGUUGGUGAGGUAAAGGGCUCACCAAGACCGUGAUGCAUAGCCGACCUGAGAGGGUAAUCGGCCACACUGGGACUGAGACACGGCCCAGACUCCUACGGGAGGCAGCAGUAGGGAAUCUUCCACAAUGGACGAAAGUCUGAUGGAGCAACGCCGCGUGAGUGAAGAAGGUUUCGGAUCGUAAACUCUGUUGUUGGAGAAGAAUGUAUCUGAUAGUAACUGAUCAGGUAGUGACGGUAUCC